CAUAAUAGUAAUAAUAGCAAUUUCCCACAAGCAUCCCAUCUGUUCUUGGAACCUAAGCAGAGUUAAUCCUAGUUAGUACAUGGAUGGGAGACCAUUAAUGAACUCCAAGUGUUGUAGGC
rnacentral:rRNA from 11 species